rnacentral:rRNA from 1 species
GACGAACGCUGGCGGCGUGCUUAACACAUGCAAGUCGAACGGAAAGGCCCUGCUUUUGUGGGGUGCUCAAGUGGCGAACGGGUGAGUAAUACGUGAGUAACCUGCCCUUGACUUUGGGAUAACUUCAGGAAACUGGGGCUAAUACCGGAUAGGAGCUCCUGCUGCAUGGUGGGGGUUGGAAAGUUUCGGCGGUUGGGGAUGGACUCGCGGCUUAUCAGCUUGUUGGUGGGGUAGUGGCUUACCAAGGCUUUGACGGGUAGCCGGCCUGAGAGGGUGACCGGCCACAUUGGGACUGAGAUACGGCCCAGACUCCUACGGGAGGCAGCAGUGGGGAAUAUUGCACAAUGGGCGGAAGCCUGAUGCAGCAACGCCGCGUGCGGGAUGACGGCCUUCGGGUUGUAAACCGCUUUCGCCUGUGACGAAGCGUGAGUGACGGUAAUGGGUAAAGAAGCACCGGCUAACUACGUG